AGUAUGAAGUAUGAAGACAUCUUCUGCCAGCACACAAGAUACAUCCAAGUCCACGAUCUUUCCUCUACAAUACACAUCCUAUCAACUCAGGUGUCCCUACCUGUUCCUCUGUCGACUGUCAAUGGCUUGUCUCUUCUUAAUGAAUGCUGCGGCCUCUACCGUUCCCCCAGGCACGCAUGUCCGGAUGGGAAAAAUGCUGAGAUUUGUCAAUUCCUCUAACAUCCAUUUAGGAUUAUUGUCAACCUUUAUAAAUCCAUAAGCAAAGCA